rnacentral:rRNA from 1 species
GAUCAUUACAGAGUUAUCUAACUCCCAAACCCAUGUGAACUUACCGUACGUUGCCUCGGCGGAGCCUACCCUGUAGCGUGCCUACCCUGUAGCGCCCCGCCGGCGGAUUUUCAACUCUUGUUUUUUUCAUGUUAUCUGAGCGUCUUAUUUUUAAUAAGUCAAAACUUUCAACAACGGAUCUCUUGGUUCUGGCAUCGAUGAAGAACGCAGCGAAAUGCGAUAAGUAAUGUGAAUUGCAGAAUUCAGUGAAUCAUCGAAUCUUUGAACGCACAUUGCGCCCAUUAGUAUUCUAGUGGGCAUGCCUGUUCGAGCGUCAUUUCAACCCUUAAGCCUAGCUUAGUGUUGGGAACCUACAUCGGGCCCAGGCUACCCUGUAGCGUGGUUACCCUGUAGCUCCUGAAAUAUAACGGCGGAUGUAUAGUUAUCCUCUGAGCGUAGUAAUUUAUUAUCUCGCUUUUGUCAGGUGCUAUGCUUCUUGCCGCUAAACCCCCUAAUUUUUAAUGGUUGACCUCGGAUCAGGUAGGAAUACCCGCUGAACUUAAGCAUAU